UGACCUUCGGAUCAGGAAG
rnacentral:rRNA from 1 species